rnacentral:lncRNA from 1 species
GGUUUGGGUUGGCUCGGGAAUGCUGGAGCACCCAAUAGCUGAUUUAGCAUAUGGUGAUCCACCAACAUGGAGAACAAGAUUCCAAUCCACCUUCGAGUGUUGGGCUGAAGAUUCGAAGGUUGCGUGUGUUUGAUUCUUGCUCACCGCGAUAUUUUUUCCAUCAUUUUGGUCAAGCAGAUUUCAAUCCACAUCCAAAAAGCAACGUUCAUCUUUGAAUUGAAAUGACAAUAGUACGGUCAAUGGUGAUGCCUGGACAAAUUAUAUUCUAUACUGAAUCCACCAACAUGGCUGUACACCAUUUCUUCCGAUGCAUUAAAUCAUCCUUAAGACACGUGGCAUCAUCAUACGAGAUCAAAGAGAUAUCAAUCUUGAAGCGUCAGAUCCCAGCAUAUUAAGUUACCUGUAAAUCGGAUUUAAAUCGGUAUUGUAUCUAUAAACUCUUCUAACAAAAAUGUUC